ensembl:snRNA Gm25598 predicted gene, 25598
GUGCUAUCUUUGGCAGUACAUAUACUAAAAUUGGAAUAACACAGAGAAGAUUAGCAUGGUCCCUGCGCAAGGAUGACACACAAAUUUGUGAACUGUUUCAUAUUUUU